rnacentral:rRNA from 1 species
GAGUUUGAACCUGGCUCAGGACGAACGCUGGCGGCGCGCCUAACACAUGCAAGUCGAACGGGGAUAUGCUGGACAAGGCUUCGGCCGAGGAAGGCAUAUUCGAGUGGCGGACGGGUGAGUAACGCGUGAGCAACCUGCCUUUCAGAGGGGGAUAACGAUUGGAAACGAUCGCUAAUACCGCAUAACAUUGCAGAGCCGCAUGGUUUUGCAAUCAAAGGAGCAAUCCGCUGAGAGAUGGGCUCGCGUCCAAUUAGGUAGAUGGUGGGGUAGAGGCCCACCAUGCCGACGAUUGGUAGCCGGACUGAGAGGUUGAACGGCCACAUUGGGACUGAGACACGGCCCAGACUCCUACGGGAGGCAGCAGUGGGGAAUAUUGGGCAAUGGGGGAAACCCUGACCCAGCGACGCCGCGUGAGGGAAGAAGGUUUUCGGAUUGUAAACCUCUGUCCUUGGUGACGAUAAUGACGGUAGCCAAGGAGGAAGCCACGGCUAACUACGUGCCAGCAGCCGCGGUAAUACGUAGGUGGCGAGCGUUGUCCGGAAUUACUGGGUGUAAAGGGAGCGUAGGCGGGAGAGCAAGUCGACUGUGAAAUCUAUGGGCUUAACCCAUAGCUGCGAUCGAAACUGUUCAUCUUGAGUGAAGUAGAGGCAGGCGGAAUUCCUAGUGUAGCGGUGAAAUGCGUAAAUAUUAGGAGGAACACCAGUGGCGAAGGCGGCCUGCUGGGCUUUAACUGACG